GCCGGAGGGAAACCGAGUCUUAAUUGGGCGUUAAGUUGCAGGGUAUAGACCCGAAACCCGGUGAUCUAGCCAUGGGCAGGUUGAAGGUUGGGUAACACUAACUGGAGGACCGAACCGACUAAUGUUGAAAAAUUAGCGGAUGACCUGUGGCUGGGGGUGAAAGGCCAAUCAAACCGGGAGAUAGCUGGUUCUCCCCGAAAGCUAUUUAGGUAGCGCCUCGUGAAUUCAUCUCCGGGGGUAGAGCACUGUUUCGGCUAGGGGGCCAUCCCGGCUUACCAACCCGAUGCAAACUGCGAAUACCGGAGAAUGUUAUCACGGGAGACACACGGCGGGUGCUAACGUCCGUCGUGAAGAGGGAAACAACCCAGACCGCCAGCUAAGGUCCCAAAGUCAUGGUUAAGUGGGAAACGAUGUGGGAAGGCCCAGACAGCCAGGAUGUUGGCUUAGAAGCAGCCAUCAUUUAAAGAAAGCGUAAUAGCUCACUGGUCGAGUCGGCCUGCGCGGAAGAUGUAACGGGGCUAAACCAUG
rnacentral:rRNA from 2 species